rnacentral:lncRNA from 14 species
GUUAAAGUUGACACAUGGACGAGAGGAAGGCUUUGCCAGUUCCCGUGGAGCUGAGGAAUUGGGGUUCUCCAUCAAGAACACACAAGAUGGAUUCCAUCUGCUCCUUGCACAUUUUCUUAGGCUUUCUUCUCCUUCCCACACCAGGCUCCUUUAGGAAGACUGCCUUCUGGGGAGGGUGGGGUGGAGGGGGUACCAGGCUUUGCAGAAACAUCCACCUCUGCUGUUUGGUUUGUUUCUUCUAGCAUGAUGGACACGUGACAUUUGGUGUCUGAAGCAGCUAUCAACUGCUGAGGCUGACUGUGGGCCAGGCACCAUUUUAUCUAUGAUUGUUUGCUCAGCUCCCUCAAACCCUGCAAGAGGUACAUCUGGGUGGAUGGAAAAUUACCUUUAGACACGGUGCGAUGUCCCCAUGGGCAAAGGUGCUUGCUGCUGAGUUCAACGACCUGAGUUCCAUCCCAGGAUCCACAUGACAGAAGGGGAGACCCCACUCCUGCAAGUUGUCCUCUGACCACCACACAUGCGCCACGGCAAACCCCACAAUAACUAAUGUAUUAUUGUCAUAUAUUAUUUAUAAUAUUAUCUAAUUGUACAUACUAUAGAAUGAAAAAUAAAUAAAUGUAAUGCAUUACGUUUAACACUGAAAAGA